UUUAACUCGCACACUGGGUCUCCCUCUUGUCUUUCUUUACAUCGCAAGGGUUUUUUUUCUUUUUCCUUCCAGCGCCAUGGAGGGUUCGUCUUCUCAGCCGUCCGAUUCAAAUCCAACGGUUUCUGGCGCUUCCAAAUUCCUCUCUAAUCUUCCUUCUCGGGGCUUCUUGUCCUCUACCGUUCUCUCUUCAAAUCCGGGUGGGAUGCGAGUCUACAUCUGUGAGCAUGAUACGUUGCCUCCAGAGGGCCAAGAGAUAAAGACUAAUCAAACAAACAUAUUGAUUAGAUCGCUCCAGCUUAACAAACAAAAGGGUGAUUCCAGUUCAAAGGAUAUGAAGGGAGUAACUGCAGCAGAGGGUUCUAGAAAGCGUGCUUCAGAAAGGGUUCAGGAUGGCAGGGCUUCAGCUAAAAGAAGCAAUAGUCAAACUGGUUCUCGNNNNNNNNNNNCAGGUGAUAGGGACUUGUACAGUUUGACAGUAGAAAGGCUUCGUGCUCUUCUGAAGGAGCGGGGUCUUUCACCCAGAGGAAAGAAGGAUGAACUGGUUGCAAGGU
rnacentral:misc_RNA from 1 species